AGGGCACCACCAGGAGUGGAGCCUGCGGCUUAAUUUGACUCAACACGGGAAAACUCACCCGGCCCGGACACUGGAAGGAUUGACAGAUUGAGAGCUCUUUCUUGAUUCAGUGGGUGGUGGUGCAUGGCCGUUCUUAGUUGGUGGAGUGAUUUGUCUGGUUAAUUCCGAUAACGAACGAGACUCUAGCCUAUUAAAUAGAUCGUUGGCUUACAAACGCCGGCGAGACUUCUUAGAGGGACAGGCGGCGAUUCAGCCGCACGAAACAGAGCAAUAACAGGUCUGUGAUGCCCUUAGAUGUCCGGGGCCGCACGCGCGCUACACUGAAGUGAUCAGCGUGCAUUUUGAAACCUACCCUGUCAAGAGUGGGGAACCCAAUGAGCCCUCUUCGUGAUUGGGAUAGGGGAUUGUAAUUAUUCCCCUUGAACGAGGAAUUCCCAGUAAGCGCGAAUCAUAAGUUUGCGCUGAUUACGUCCCUGCCCUUUGUACACACCGCCCGUCGCUACUACCGAUUGAAUGUUU
rnacentral:rRNA from 1 species